GGCUGUGUCGAAUCUGAGUUUCGUGAGGGGGGAAAAGUCGUAACAAGGUGGCCGUAGGGGAACCUGCGGCCGGAUCACCUCCU
rfam:Miscellaneous Crenarchaeota group-1 archaeon SG8-32-3 WOR_8-12_7476, whole genome shotgun sequence.